rnacentral:lncRNA from 1 species
GAUCUAAUUUUGUAUAAAAUAAUUUCAUAUGUAUUUUAAUCUUUCCUGCAGAAUAUUCAACUGAAGAAAAAUUGAAGUAUAAAUUUUGCAAACAUUAUGUGGAGAUUGGACACCUUACAGGGGACCUGAAGCCUAUGACAUUCUGGCACAUGGACUGUCAUGAUCAAGAUUAUUUUCCUCUUGGAGACGUAACUGCUCAAGAGAAAUCUGGAGAAAUUCAGGCAAUAACAAUUUUACAGUUUUUGAGAUGGAUUGUGAACAUGGGUUUAAAGCCUUAGGAAAUGUAGUUGUUAAAGGCUCUAACCAGCUUCCUGGUCUGCAUAAUUACAGGUAAGCCUGGAUGUCAACUUUCUUUUUUUAAUGAUUGUUUUUUUAAUUAAAAUAUUUUAAUG